ACGAUUGUUGGUUGGUUUUGCAAAAGCUGAUUAGGGUUAUUAUUUGUGCCCCGUGUUUUGUUUGUUUAAUUGUGGCAAUAGGAAGUUUUGUUUCAUUGACUGCAUGAAGUGUGUUUAUGAUUUGUGGGUUAUGUUUUCUGGUUAUUUUAUCAGCAGUUGGUUUUUUGUUAAGAUGGGAAUCUUAUAAGGGUGAUACAAUUUAAGGGGAUAGGUCACAGUGCCAGCAUCUGCGGUUAAUCUGUUUUCUUUGCUUUUGUGUGGAUUAUGCGUAUUUAUUUAUGUGCAAUGUUAGGUUAAAUUUUUUUGUGACAGUGUGUGGUAAAUAGGUUUUGUUAUGAUAUAUAUGAUGACAGGGAUUAGAUACCCCAUUAAUGUAUUUUGUAAAGUUGUUCUAGUUUUGUAACUA
rnacentral:rRNA from 1 species